GAUGAACGCUAGCGGGAGGCUUAACACAUGCAAGUCGAGGGGUAACAUUUCUUUCGGGAAGAUGACGACCGGCGCACGGGUGAGUAACGCGUAUGCAACCUACCUUUUACAGAGGAAUAGCCCAGAGAAAUUUGGAUUAAUACCUCAUAGUACUAUCAAUUCGCAUGUUUUGAUAGUUAAAGUUUCGGCGGUAAAAGAUGGGCAUGCGUGACAUUAGAUUGUUGGUAAGGUAACGGCUUACCAAGUCUACGAUGUCUAGGGGUUCUGAGAGGAUGAUCCCCCACACUGGUACUGAGACACGGACCAG
rnacentral:rRNA from 1 species